rnacentral:lncRNA from 1 species
GUAUCCAACCAUAGCAGUGCAUUUCUUCCUCGCUGAGCAAGACCAAAAGUCCAGAAAAUGCCAACCUUACAUCAGUGCUACACAGCGUGGGGGGACCUGGGACUCAGUGAUCCUCAUCUUAUGUUGGUGUCAAUAUGCAGCCACCAGAUGGUGCUGGAGGCACUGAGGGAGCUAUGGGGGCCCCAUGACUCAGCAUAGAUACAUGGUCACCACGGGAUCACUUUUCCCUUCAAGCACUGGCUGGACUGGGGAAGUUGAACCCUGUGUUUCUGUUUCCGGUGGGCCAACUGCCUCAACUCACAGAGGACAAGUGAUCUUCAAGGGUAAAGCACCAUCAUCCUGGGAUGUGUUAGACAUCUGGAGUCCAUUCCUGUCACAUUAGACUUCACUUACAAAAU